rnacentral:rRNA from 1 species
ACGAACGCUGGCGGCGCGCCUAACACAUGCAAGUCGAACGAGAGAUGAGGAGCUUGCUCUUCAAAUCGAGUGGCGAACGGGUGAGUAACGCGUGAGGAACCUGCCUCAAAGAGGGGGACAACAGUUGGAAACGACUGCUAAUACCGCAUAAGCCCACGGCUCGGCAUCGAGCAGAGGGAAAAGGAGCAAUCCGCUUUGAGAUGGCCUCGCGUCCGAUUAGCUAGUUGGUGAGGUAACGGCCCACCAAGGCGACGAUCGGUAGCCGGACUGAGAGGUUGAACGGCCACAUUGGGACUGAGACACGGCCCAGACUCCUACGGGAGGCAGCAGUGGGGAAUAUUGCACAAUGGGGGAAACCCUGAUGCAGCGACGCCGCGUGGAGGAAGAAGGUCUUCGGAUUGUAAACUCCUGUUGUUGAGGAAGAUAAUGACGGUACUCAACAAGGAAGUGACGGCUAACUACGUGCCAGCAGCCGCGGUAAAACGUAGGUCACAAGCGUUGUCCGGAAUUACUGGGUGUAAAGGGAGCGCAGGCGGGAGAACAAGUUGGAAGUGAAAUCCAUGGGCUCAACCCAUGAACUGCUUUCAAAACUGUUUUUCUUGAGUAGUGCAGAGGUAGGCGGAAUUCCCGGUGUAGCGGUGGAAUGCGUAGAUAUCGGGAGGAACACCAGUGGCGAAGGCGGCCUACUGGGCACCAACUGACGCUGAGGCUCGAAAGUGUGGGUAGCAAACAGGAUUAGAUACCCUGGUAGUCCACACCGUAAACGAUGAUUACUAGGUGUUGGAGGAUUGACCCCUUCAGUGCCGCAGUUAACACAAUAAGUAAUCCACCUGGGGAGUACGACCGCAAGGUUGAAACUCAAAGGAAUUGACGGGGGCCCGCACAAGCAGUGGAGUAUGUGGUUUAAUUCGACGCAACGCGAAGAACCUUACCAAGUCUUGACAUCCCUUGACGAUGCUGGAAACAGUAUUUCUCUUCGGAGCAAGGAGACAGGUGGUGCAUGGUUGUCGUCAGCUCGUGUCGUGAGAUGUUGGGUUAAGUCCCGCAACGAGCGCAACCCUUAUGGUCAGUUACUACGCAAGAGGACUCUGGCCAGACUGCCGUUGACAAAACGGAGGAAGGUGGGGAUGACGUCAAAUCAUCAUGCCCCUUAUGACCAGGGCUACACACGUGCUACAAUGGCGUAAACAAAGAGAAGCAAACUCGCGAGGGUAAGCAAAUCUCAAAAAUAACGUCUCAGUUCGGAUUGUAGUCUGCAACUCGACUACAUGAAGCUGGAAUCGCUAGUAAUCGCGAAUCAGCAUGUCGCGGUGAAUACGUUCCCGGGUCUUGUACACACCGCCCGUCACACCAUGGGAGUCAGUAACGCCCGAAGUCAGUGACCCAACCGUAAGGAGGGAGCUGCCGAAGGUGGGACCGAUAACUGGGGUG